UAAGCUGCAUUUGAACAUACAUAAUUAUACAGAUUUCUGCAUGCAUAUCUCAUUAUUACCUGUAGAGUAGACACCAACUCCCUAAUGGCUGCUUCAGCCUCAGCAUGUGUAGGUUUCCUAAAGUAGGCCAUCUUGAACUUUAAAAUUAGGCAGAUUCUAGAAGGUUCUCUGUAAUGGUGACUACUGUGGUCUAUGUUGUAUAAUUACCAGGUUUUAGGGGUGUAUUCCUGAAAAUAAUCAGUUCUAGUAAUCUCUCUUUCCUGUGCAGUACUCAGUACAUGUAAUACAAAGGCCAAGAUCAUUAUCUACUACAAGGGCCAAUAAACUGCUUGUGGCACGAAUUGCCAUGUAAUAACUAAUUUGUUGCCUUGAAAACCAUUUUCUGAUAUAGAAACCAGCAUAGAGACCACUUGCUGCAUAUAGAUGUGAAAAAAAAAGGUAAUUUGGUAGUUUUUGUUCUGUUUUUGGUGGCUGGAUUUACAAUAUAUAAACAGUGGUUUGCAGAACAGUUGUCAUAUACUCAGAGUAGCAGUAGGCGGUGACUUUUACAAGGUCACUUUGCCCCAGUGCAACAUGUCCCUGGUUAAAACAUGUGCAAUUCAAGUAACCCACAUGCUGGGUUACAACAACAGAUAAAAGUAUACACAUUUAAAACAAGUAGAAAUACUAUAAGCUACAGGUUGUUGUAACCAGCCAUAUAGGUUCUUUUAAGCAUAUUUGGUAAUGGCAAGGGCGUAUAAAAGAAGAGAGGGCAUGCAUGCAACUCCAUAUGAGCAGAGUUCAAACGUGGGCAGAUGAAUGUGCAUGACUGGCAUGAAAUGCGAAAUUUCUAUUUUUAGCACUUCAUGCAAAUUAAUGCACACAUUCCUCUGCCCACGUUUGAACUCUGCUAGCUACGUGUACUAAUAUAGUGGAGUUGCAUGCUCUCUCUUCAAUCUUUUAUACGCCCUUGGUAAUGGGUCGUAGCAACUUCCCAUAGGUAGAAACAUCCAGCUAUAUGUAGGUUUUAGCAACCAUGCACAGCAGCAGCCAUACGUAGAAGUACCCGCCCAUGCAGCUAUAGGUUGUAGCAACCUCCCGUAGGUAGUAUAGCUAAUCGGUCAAAACAACCGCGCUAAAAUUAUAGGUUCUUUUGACUCACAUUUCAUCACUCAUGCAUAAUUAUUGUAGAAAAACUCAGUGCCGUGUCGUGACAUACAUGUAAGUGUGUGCUAAUUACAAUCAUCACAAAAACAAGAAACUGAUAACGUACUUACAUACAGUACAUUCAGCCUAUAGAGUAAAUAAACGCAAUUUGGUGUGUAAUGGUACAUAAAUGUAAAUAUUUUGGGAUUGGAACAUUUCUAAGAAAAUAUGAUGAUAUACCAUUGUGUUGGUGAACAAAUAAUCUAAAAGUCCAAAAACAUUUCCAUGGCAACCAAAGGUGGUGGGUAUGUGGUGGUUUAUAUAACACCAACAUUUUUUUAUAGUGGAUAAUCGCUUAGCAAUGGAAAACACCAUCGUUUUCGGCUAAGGUAUGGAAUUUUGGCACAACAUUCCUGAAUAGUUAACCUAACAUAUGCAUGCAUGUACACGUCUCACUACAAGGAGGAUAUGCAUCAAUAUAAUUAUCGUCCGCUACUGUGCAUGGUUACUCCGAGGACAAGGAUAAGAUUCAAUGGUUGUUCCCACGCAAGAGGAGGAUAAAGUGAGGAAAAGAACUGAUUGAGGGAGCGGAAGAAAAUGGUGACCCUCACCUUGAGGCAGUACCUCACCAAGCAGCCAAGGUGUGUGUGUGUGUGUUUGUUGGAAAAAGUGUGUGUGUGGUCAGUGAUGAUAUUCAAGAGACGGGCGGACUGAGAACAGUGUUCUGUGCAGACUGUCUCUAAUUCUGAGACCAUUACCAGUAACUUUCUGCGGUGUCGAUUCUGCCACUUUUUAGAAUGUUCUGUCACUGUUAACAAGAGCUAGAUAUUGCGACUGAGAUGUGCUUCAUAAAGAAAAUACCAAGUAUACUACUCUUGGAAAGUUGUCUGAACAUGAAAUGUAUGUGCUGUGGGCCAUUGAAGGAAUGCCACACGGAAGAAGAUAUCAGCAUUGGAAAAAAGCUGCAAGAGAUAGACGGCUGGCUUGGUGUGCCAAAGAUGAAAGUUCAAACGAAGUUAUCAAGUGAUUCUAAUAUUACAUUGUGUCCUUUGGUAAGUCCUCUGAUAAUAACUUUUACCGAUCAUGAACCAACUACAAAUGUAUGUCUACAUUAUCAUUAUUUUUUCAA